rnacentral:rRNA from 1 species
GAUGAACGCUAGCUACAGGCUUAACAAAUGCAAGUCGAGGGGUAACAAGAGGAAAGCUUGCUUUCUUUGUUGACGACCGGCGCACGGGUGAGUAACGCGUAUCCAACCUGCCUAUAACUAGGGAAUAACCUUGCGAAAGUAAGACUAAUACCCUAUGAUUUCCUUUGAUGACAUCAGAUUAGGAAUAAAGAUUUAUCGGUUAUAGAUGGGGAUGCGUCUGAUUAGCUUGUUGGCGGGGUAACGGCCCACCAAGGCAACGAUCAGUAGGGGUUCUGAGAGGAAGGUCCCCCACAUUGGAACUGAGGCACGGUCCAAACUCCUACGGGAGGCAGCAGUGAGGAAUAUUGGUCAAUGGGCGGAAGCCUGAACCAGCCAAGUAGCGUGCAGGAUGACGGCCCUAUGGGUUGUAAACUGCUUUUAUACAGGAAUAAAGUUAGCCACGUGUGGUUAUUUGUAGGUACUGUAUGAAUAAGGACCGGCUAAUUCCGUGCCAGCCGCCGCGGUAA